rnacentral:rRNA from 1 species
UUACUGAGUGAGGACCCCGCGUCCGACCUCCAACCCUCUGUGAACCAACACUGUUGCUUCGGGGGCUCCCCUGCCGUUCGGGCUCGGGGCCCCCGGAGGAAAUCAAAACGCUGCAUCUGUGCGUCGGAGUAUCAAUCAAAUUGAACAAAACUUUCAACAACGGAUCUCUUGGUUCUGGCAUCGAUGAAGAACGCAGCGAAAUGCGAUAAGUAAUGUGAAUUGCAGAAUUCAGUGAAUCAUCGAAUCUUUGAACGCACAUUGCGCCCCGUGGUAUUCCGCGGGGCAUGCCUGUUCGAGCGUCAUUUCACCACUCAAGCCUGGCUUGGUAUUGGGCGUCGCGGCUCCGCGCGCCUCAAAGUCUCCGGCUGAGCUGUCCGUCUCCCAGCGUUGUGACACACGAUCGCUCCGAGUUCGAACAGCCGCGGCCGUUAAACUUCAUCAAAGGUUGACCUCGGAUCAGGUAGGGAUACCCGCUGAACUUAAGCAUAUCAAUAAGCGGAGGAAAAGAAACCAACAGGGAUUGCCCUAGUAACGGCGAGUGAAGCGGCAACAGCUCAAAUUUGAAAUCUGGCGCAAGCCCGAAUUGUAAUUUGUAGAGGAUGCUUCUGGGCAGCGGCCGUUCUAAGUUCCUUGGAACAGGACGUCAUA